rnacentral:tRNA from 2 species
GGUCUUAUAUUCAUCAGAUGAUAAUAGAAUGCAAUUCUAUAGGAGUAGAAAGCUACUAAGGCUU